GAUGAACGCUAGCUACAGGCUUAACACAUGCAAGUCGAGGGGAAACGACAUCGAAAGCUUGCUUUUGAUGGGCGUCGACCGGCGCACGGGUGAGUAACGCGUAUCCAACCUGCCCAUCGCUUGGGAAUAACCUUGCGAAAGUAAGACUAAUACCCAAUGACAUCCCACGAAGACAUCUGAAUGGGAUUAAAGAUUUAUCGGUGAUGGAUGGGGAUGCGUCUGAUUAGCUUGUUGGCGGGGUAACGGCCCACCAAGGCAACGAUCAGUAGGGGUUCUGAGAGGAAGGUCACCCACAUUGGAACUGAGACACGGUCCAAACUCCUACGGGAGGCAGCAGUGAGGAAUAGUGGUCAAUGGGCGAGAGCCUGAACCAGCCAAGUAGCGUGCAGGAUGACGGCCCUAUGGGUUGUAAACUGCUUUUAUAAGGGAAUAAAGUGGGUCUCGUGAGACUUUUUGCAUGUACCUUAUGAAUAAGGACCGGCUAAUUCCGUG
rnacentral:rRNA from 1 species